rnacentral:tRNA from 2 species
GGAUGCUUAGCUCAGCUGGGAGAGCACCGCCCUUACAAGGCGGGGGUCACUGGUUCGAACCCAGUAGCGUCCACCA